rnacentral:rRNA from 1 species
GAUGAACGCUGGCGGCGUGCCUAAUACAUGCAAGUCGAGCGAACAGAUGAGGAGCUUGCUCCUCUGACGUUAGCGGCGGACGGGUGACUAACACGUGGAUAACCUACCUAUAAGACUGGGAUAACUUCGGGAAACCGGAGCUAAUACCGGAUAAUAUAUUGAACCGCAUGGUUCAAUAGUGAAAGACGGUUUUGCUGUCACUUAUAGAUGGAUCCGCGCCGCAUUAGCUAGUUGGUAAGGUAACGGCUUACCAAGGCAACGAUGCGUAGCCGACCUGAGAGGGUGAUCGGCCACACUGGAACUGAGACACGGUCCAGACUCCUACGGGAGGCAGCAGUAGGGAAUCUUCCGCAAUGGGCGAAAGCCUGACGGAGCAACGCCGCGUGAGUGAUGAAGGUCUUCGGAUCGUAAAACUCUGUUAUUAGGGAAGAACAAAUGUGUAAGUAACUAUGCACGUCUUGACGGUACCUAAUCAGAAAGCCACGGCUAACUACGUG